UCAUCAGGCAUGCAAAGACACCAGUGAAAUUAAGAUGUUUGGUUUUAUUUAUCUUAUCUGAAUAUCUGCUGUCACGCAUAACAUUCAUUAUUUGACCGUAUUUCAAAGAUAAACAAAAUCCAGUUACAACUCCGAACCGCUAGAUGGCAGCAGUACACAAACACGGGGCCAAAUCUCACGAGCAAGAUUUCCGCUGUUUGAAAAGCAACAACAUCAGCGAGCAGCCACGAGGAAAGCAAUCUACCACACUCGUUUGGUCUUGUGUCAAAGCUGUGCGAAACUGGAGGGAGAAACUUGAGAGACCGUGCCGGAAGAAUGCUGGACAGAGUUCACUAAAAUUCAUUAAUUUCAAAGUUCAACAUGAAUGGUGGUGGUCCACUGCAGAAGCAAGCAUUUGAAAAAACAUCACUUCUCAGUUAUUAAAGAUGAUGUGUUGAACAACUUCCCAGAAGCAACAGAACUGGACGUGAAGGAUGCAAUGGGGGCAUUUCAAACAGUCACCAGGGAGCACGGGGGGGGG